GCUAACUUAACUGUCACUAGAUUCCAGGAAUGUUGAAAACAUCAGCAGUUAAAUUAAAUAUCGUUUUUGGGGAUGCCACUGUUGGACAUUUUGGGCAAUUAUUUAAUAAAAACAACAUCAGUAUUUAAAGAGGACGUCCUAGAGCCGAAUUUAUCGAGUCCAGGCCUGGUUUAAGUUGCUAGCUAAUUUCAGGUUAGCAGCAGGAGGAAUGAGCAAGUUGUGCGGAGCGUUUGUAUGUUUUUGGACAUUUGUGGGCUUCUUUAGCAGCUUAAAGAGAGAAGAAACUCAGUACAUGGAUCGGGGUGGUAAAUGUCUGUUCGUCUUAUGCUAGCUUUAAUGCUAGCUACAGAAGCUGAAAUGCAGGGAACCAAUUCUGAAGACCCAAGGACCGGAUGUGGAGGAAUUACAACUGCAGAGCAUCAGGAUCUCGCGCUGACACCGUCUUCACCACCGUCCCGAUCUCGGCGUCUUCCAGAAGCUCAAUGUAGUACGACGGCGAGCCGAACAGCGGGGGCUCGUCCACGUCCUCCACGCUCACGUGAACGAUGGUGACGUCCUUGAAGGGUCCGCGGUGCCGGAAGGUCGGGUCCAGAGGCGCUGCAUCAUCUACUGGUUUCCAGUUUUCAAAAUUGGCGGUGAAACUUGAGAAUUAGGAAGUGGAGUCAACAAACCAGUUGACGUUAUGGACCGUGUUCGUCCUCUUUACAAAGUCUUUCUGCCCGGUCGGAGCGGAGCGGCGCAGCGCUGUCGGCGGCGGCGGCGGCUUACCUGGGCGCUGCGCUCUGGAUCGCCGCCUAAUCAUCUGGCCUCAAGUCAGGCAGGACAGCUGGGCCCUCAAAGGACCCACCGCAUCUGCACCGCUGCAGAAGGACGAAGAGGAGGAUGAAGGAGCAGAAACUAAU